CUCUCUUAAACAUAGUAUUCAACAGACUUUCAUUGUAGUUUUAUUCUAUUGCUCCACAAACACCUGGCUUCUGCCUAAUGUCAAUCCUACCUCUCAACCGCUUACAGUUGGACUUGAGCAACCGCUUGCUACAGCCCAGUUCAGUUGUAACUAUAGACUAAACUUGAGUAGGACAGGACUAAACUUGAGUUGUUUCCUGUAGACAGAAGUACAAUGGUCGACAUAAAAGGUCACCUAAUUGAAGGAAAACUGGUUUCAAGUAGAUGAAUAAACUCCAUGCUUACAGGUUCUCACACUGGGAUAUGUUUCCGAAACACCCCCAACAAGAUAAGAGGUUGGGAAAUGGUUCUCUUGGUUAAUUAAGAAAGAAUGUCAUCUUUUAAAUAAGGGGAGAAAAGAUCACAUGCAUGCCAUUCUUCCGGACAACAUUCUUGCAAGUAAAUUUGCUUUUCUUCACCCAAAUGUAUCCAGCUUCAGAGGUUGCAAGACCAAAAUAGAUAUAUAAGAAGGUCCUCCAAUUUCCCAUUCUUGGCUCUAAAAUAAAUGAGUCAGUUUUCCAUUGGGUCAAGACACAGAGCUUGCUGCAAAUAAGAAUGAUUCUAGGUCAUGAUUAAAAUUGCUUUUUUGGAGUUCCCGGGUGGCUCAGGUGGUUAAGGAUCCGGUCUUGUCACUGCUGUGGCUCAGGUCACCACUGUGGCAUAGGUUGGAUCACUUCUGCAUGCUGUGGGCAUGGCCAAAAAGAACCUGCUUAUCAAACUAUUGACAAUAGUAUGUCUUUUUUUGUUGUCUUUUCUAGGGCCGCAACCUCGGCAGAUGGAGGCUCCCAGGCUGGGGGUCGAAUUGGAGCUGGGCAGCCCUAGAAAAGGCAAAAAGACAAUAAAUAAAUAAAUAAAUAAAUAAAUAAAUAAAUAAAUAAAUAAGUAAAUAAAGACAAUCCCCAAAUUCUUUUUUCUUUUUUAAAAUUCAAGUUCUGCACACACCAUGAAUGUCUAUAAUACCAUGAGCUACCCAGGUUCCAUCUCUGGCCCACCAACAUGACUAAGGAAAACCACAUGCACCAGUAACAGCAAGUGUCUCGCUCUGGAAGUCUCUGAGCUUCCCGGAGGUCCUCGGUUGAAUGUAUUUAUCCUGAUGAGAGCAAUUACGGCCCCUAGGAAUCCAGCCACAAGUCCACCUCCAGGCCCAUCAAGGAACUAUCCCUCCCCCUCAGUUUCUCCAACUGUGAGGUACAUCUGCCUAUCAGAUAGUGACCCUGGUGUCCUCAACUGAUCUUCAGGCCUGCUGCUGCAGUGCCACCUCGGGGGACGGGGAUGGGGCGCGCGGGGCGGGGGUUGGGGGGGAUUCACCCUCUGUCUAUGUGCAGCAGCCAUGCAGACUUGACCCACAAGCCCUGGGACUGGGGAGAAGGACUUUCGGAGGCUACAACAGGUUUUGUACUUACAACCGUGCCCCUGGCUUAACAGGGGCAAAACUGUCAUCUUCGGUGUCUUAAAUCAGCAAGAGUCAUGAACCAUAAAACCUGGGGGAAAGAUUUCCUAAUUGAACCCUGAAUUUCCUAGACGAGAAAACCAAGGUGUAGGCAGAUCCAGGAGGUGUGUACCAGGAAGACCUUUAGAACACCGCAUUUAGAACUCCUUUUUGCAUCAAGACAGCAGGAAAUGAGCACAAUCAACCCAAUGUGCGCAGCAUUCCACAGCUUCAAAGGCAUCUCAGAUGAACUCUUUCAUUGGCGCCUCACACCAGCAUUGAGUCGGCCUGGGUUCACACUCUGUCUUCAUCACUUACUAGCUGUGUGCCUUGGUGUAAAUUAUUGAACCUCCUUGUUGCCUUAUCUGUGCGUUGGGGAUAAUUAAUAGUAGCUACUGGGAGUUCCCAUCGUGGCGCAGUGGUUAACGAAUCCGACUAGGAACCAUGAGGUUGCGGGUUCGAUCCCUGGCCUUGC
rnacentral:lncRNA from 1 species